CUUUUCCCUGGGAAGGCUGGCAGCAAGGCCAGCUCUGGCUUUUCAGGUGGGAGAAAAGGAAGUGGGGAAGUCUGCUCCUUCCUCAAAUAAA
rfam:Egretta garzetta contig85630, whole genome shotgun sequence.